AGAAUCAACGCUGGCGGCGUGCCUAACACAUGCAAGUCGAACGAGAAAGUGGAGCAAUCCAUGAGUAAAGUGGCGCACGGGUGAGUAACACGUGACUAACCUACCCUUGAGUGGGGAAUAACUGAGGGAAACCUUGGCUAAUACCGCAUAAUACCUACGGGUCAAAGGAGCAAUUCGCUUAAGGAGGGGUCGCGGCAGAUUAGCUAGUUGGCGGGGUAAUGGCCCACCAAGGCAGUGAUCUGUAUCCGGCCUGAGAGGGCGCACGGACACACUGGAACUGAAACACGGUCCAGACUCCUACGGGAGGCAGCAGUGGGGAAUUUUGCGCAAUGGGGGAAACCCUGACGCAGCAACGCCGCGUGGAGGAUGAAGACCCUUGGGUCGUAAACUCCUUUCGAUCGGGACGAUUAUGACGGUACCGGAAGAAGAAGCCCCGGCUAACUUCGCGCCAGCAGCCGC
rnacentral:rRNA from 1 species